GACGAACGCUGGCGGCGUGCUUAACACAUGCAAGUCGAACGGAAAGGCCCUGCUUUUGUGGGGUGCUCGAGUGGCGAACGGGUGAGUAACACGUGAGUAACCUGCCCUUGACUCUGGGAUAACUUCAGGAAACUGGGGCUAAUACCGGAUAGGAGCUCCUGCUGCAUGGUGGGGGUUGGAAAGUUUCGGCGGUUGGGGAUGGACUCGCGGCUUAUCAGCUUGUUGGUGGAGUAGUGGCUUACCAAGGCUUUGACGGGUAGCCGGCCUGAGAGGGUGACCGGCCACAUUGGGACUGAGAUACGGCCCAGACUCCUACGGGAGGCAGCAGUGGGGAAUAUUGCACAAUGGGCGGAAGCCUGAUGCAGCAACGCCGCGUGCGGGAUGACGGCCUUCGGGUUGUAAACCGCUUUCGCCUGUGACGAAGCGUGAGUGACGGUAAUGGGUAAAGAAGCACCGGCUAACUACGUG
rnacentral:rRNA from 1 species